rnacentral:rRNA from 1 species
AGUGAACGCUGGCGGUAGGCCUAACACAUGCAAGUCGAACGGCAGCACAGUAAGAGCUUGCUCUUACGGGUGGCGAGUGGCGGACGGGUGAGGAAUACAUCGGAAUCUACUUUUUCGUGGGGGAUAACGUAGGGAAACUUACGCUAAUACCGCAUACGACCUACGGGUGAAAGCAGGGGAUCUUCGGACCUUGCGCGAUUGAAUGAGCCGAUGUCGGAUUAGCUAGUUGGCGGGGUAAAGGCCCACCAAGGCGACGAUCCGUAGCUGGUCUGAGAGGAUGAUCAGCCACACUGGAACUGAGACACGGUCCAGACUCCUACGGAGGCAGCAGUGGGGAAUAUUGGACAAAGGGCGCAAGCCUGAUCCAGCCAUACCGCGUGGGUGAAGAAGGCCUUCGGGUUGUAAAGCCCUUUUGUUGGGAAAGAAAAGCAGCAGGUUAAUACCCCGCUGUUCUGACGGUACCCAAAGAAUAAGCACCGGCUAACUUCGUG